rnacentral:snRNA from 1 species
AGCUUUGCGCAGUGGCAGUAUCGUAGCCAAUGAGGUUUAUCCGAGUCGCGAUUAUUGCUAAUUAAAAAGUAGAUCUGGAC